GACGAACGCUGGCGGCGUGCCUAAUACAUGCAAGUAGAACGCUGAAGGAGGAGCUUGCUUCUCUGGAUGAGUUGCGAACGGGUGAGUAACGCGUAGGUAACCUGCCUGGUAGCGGGGGAUAACUAUUGGAAACGAUAGCUAAUACCGCAUAAUAUUGACUAUUGCAUGAUAGUCAGUUGAAAGGUGCAACUGCACCACUACCAGAUGGACCUGCGUUGUAUUAGCUAGUUGGUGGGGUAACGGCUCACCAAGGCGACGAUACAUAGCCGACCUGAGAGGGUGAUCGGCCACACUGGGACUGAGACACGGCCCAGACUCCUAAGGGAGGCAGCAGUAGGGAAUCUUCGGCAAUGGACGGAAGUCUGACCGAGCAACGCCGCGUGAGUGAAGAAGGUUUUCGGAUCGUAAAGCUCUGUUGUAAGAGAAGAACGAGUGUGAGAGUGGAAAGCUCACACUGUGACGGUAUCUUACCAGAAAGGGACGGCUAACUACGUG
rnacentral:rRNA from 1 species